GUUCUCAAAAGAGUUGUCUGGCCCUGGCCGGUUUGGCUCAGCGAUUAGAGCGUUGGCCCUUGAACCAGAGCCCACGGAGGGAGUGUGCAGAGAGAGGUCUGAGGACUACUCGCUAGGCACCCUUCAAGUUCAAGAGUUCAGGAAGGGGAGGAAGAAGCAGCAAAGGAGACUGAGCAGGUGCGGCCAGCAGCAGCCGGGAGCCAGAAGAGCACUGGAACAUGACCCCAACCAGGGCCGGGGACAAACUGCAGCCGAGAGUGAGAAGGCCCACCAGAGUUCUUCAAUAUUGGGAUUCUGUGUUGAGUUGAAAGAAGCAACUACGCCCACAAUAGUGGGAUCUUCUACAUUUGAUGAACUAAGCAGAUUCUUACCAUCAGAGAAGGAAACUUUAGAAGGGCGAUGAAGGUCAUAGUACCCAUUCAGACUUGAGAUUUCAAAGGAAACCUACAGACCUAAAGGAGGACGGUCGAGAACCGAAUUGUUCGAGAACCGAAGCAAUGAAACCAAU